AUAAUUGAAAAACCCUAAAACCCUAAAACUCUAAAACUAAAACUGUAAUCCUCUAUGUCAAAGCGUUGGAAAACCUCUGUUUUUCUCCAACACUUGUUCUGCAUUUAUGAAUUCGCAAUCCUCUGCUUCUCCUCUUCGUCGUCUUAUAUGAUAAACUCUCAACUUCCAUGUGGGUUUCGUCUUCCAGGUCAGUCUUUAAUUUUAAUAGAAAACUCCUGACCCCUAAACCCAUCACCAUCGGAGUUGUUCUCUUCAAUUCCAAAUCCUUCUCAUCUUCACUUUGCCCCUUAAUCAACUACUCCACCGCUGCCGCAAGCAACAGCGACGGUGACCCGCAACAACAGCUACUCCAGUUAGAUUCAUUCGAAGUUGUUGAUAUCUUAUACAGCCUUAAGAAACAGCCCAGUCGUGCUGUCUCCUUCUUUUACCAAUUGAAAGACAGGGGCUUCCAAAAUGAUGUCUCCACCUAUGCUGCCAUUAUUAGAAUCCUCUGUUAUUGGGGUCUCCACAGGAACCUCCAUUCCAUUUUCUUUGAUCUUAUUCUGGCUUCUUUUGAUAUUUCACUUUUGCUUGAUACUCUUAGUGAAGGGGUUGUUGAUGACACUAAAAAAAACUCUUCUUUUCUGUUUAAAGUAUAUGAUGCCUUGGUUAAGUCCUAUGUAAGUGCCGGUAAGUUUGAUGAGGCUAUUGAUGCUUUGUUUCAAAUGGGAAGACGCGGAUUCGUGCCCCAUAUAUUCACCUGUAACUUUCUUAUGAAUAGAAUCAUUCAGAAUGGUAAAUCGGAUACGGCUCUGGCCAUUUACAAACAGUUGAAGAGGUUGGGUUUGAGCCCUAAUGAUUACACCUAUGCUAUUGUGAUAAAAGCACUUUGCAUUAAGGGUAGUUUAGAAGAGGCUAUAGAUGUCUUCAAGGAUAUUGAGGACAGUGGUGUUACCACCACUUAUUUUGCUUACACAGCUUAUAUAGAAGGACUUUGUGCGAAUCAGAAGUCGGACUUGGGAUAUCAGGUGCUUCAGGCAUGGAAAGCAGCUAACAUCCCAUUCCAUGUGUAUAUUUAUUCAGUUGCAAUUCGUGGCUUUUGCAAUGAGAUGAAAUUGGAUAAAGCCGAAGGAGUCUUACUUGACAUGGAAAAAGAAGGGUUAGUUCCAGAUAUGCAUUGCUAUAGUACAUUGAUUUGUGGGUUCUGCAAGGGUGGGAAAUUGCAAAAAGCAUAUGCUCUCCUCAAUGACAUGAUGUCGAAGGGUGUCAAAAUAAACUGUGUUGUUGUUGGCUCAAUUCUGCACUGCUUGUGUGAAAUGGGCAUGCAUUCUGAAGCGGUUGAUCAAUUUAAUCAAUAUAAGAACUUAGGUAUAUUUCUAGAUGAGGUUUCCUACAACAUUAUAGUUGAUGCUUUGUGCAAACUGGGGAAACUAGAACAAGCUGUAGCAUUGCUAGAUGAAAUGAAGGUCAAGCGAAUGGAUAUGGAUUUAAUGCAUUAUACUACCCUAAUUAAUGGGUAUUGUUGCCAAGGAAAUCUGGUUGGUGCAUACAAGGUUUUUGAAGAAAUGAGAGAAAAGGGUUUCAAGCCAGAUAUUAUCACUUACAAUGUACUUGCCAGUGGAUUUUGUAGACAAGGUCUUGCAACUGAGGCGCUUGGCCUUUUGGAUUAUAUGAAAACACAGAAUCAGAAACCUAAUGCUAUUACACACAAUGUGAUAAUUGAAAGUUUAUGUGAAGGAGGCGAAGUGAAAGAGGCAGAAGCAUUUUUUAAUGGUAUAAAGGAUAAGAGUUUAGAUAAUUAUGCUGCAAUGAUUAAUGGAUACUGUAGAGCCAGUCAUACUACAAAGGCUUAUAAACUUUUCAUUAGACUUUCAAGACAGGGACAUAUAGUGAAGAAAAGUUGCUGUUGUAAUCUUCUCAAAAACCUGUGUGAGGAAGGUAAUAAUGAUGGAAUUCUAACGCUGCUGAAGAAAAUGUUGGCUUUGAAUGUGGAACCUAGCAAGUUUAUGUACAAUAUAAUCAUUGCUGCUCUGUGUCGAGCUGGAGAUGUGACAAAUGCACGAUUGGUUUUUGACAAUUUGUCUGGGAGAGGGUUGACUCCUGAUAUCAUUACCUACACAAUGAUGAUAAAUAGUUACUGCAGGAUUAAUUGCUUGCAGGAAGCCCAUGAUCUUUUUCAUGAUAUGAAACGAAGAGGAAUUAAACCUGAUCUGGUUACUUUUACAGUUUUGCUUGAUGGUCAUCAAAAAGCACAUAUAAGAAAGGUGGCUGCUAUAUUGAUUAAUUCUAACUUCCGAGUGAGCUGGAAAGAUCUAUCUGAACUCCAAAAUCUGUAUGAUCUUCUUCCUUGUGCAAAUCUUUUAUCAUUUAUAUUUGCAAGGUUUCAACUUUUAACUGAAAGCAUUUCAUAACACAUUUCUCUUUGGGAGGUUGUCUAAUGCCCAAACUCUUGAACUAUGCAGAAAUUUAUGAUGAGAAUAUCAAAUUUGAUCCUACAAAACUUGUGUUUUGUUGUUUGAAUUUCAAAGUUUCAAGCAACUCUGUGAAAUGUUGUGCUAUGCAUCUCUUUCUCCACAAUUCACUAGAUCAUUUGAAAUCGAACACAUAGAAUACUAGAUGUAAAUGCUCGCAUGAACAUGCUUUGGUUGACCAGCUUUAGGUGAUUGUCUAUUGCUUGAGAUUACUAAUUCUUGGAGUACAUUUAUUCCAUAUUAACUGGGUGGCUGUACUUCUGCUAUUGCACUUGAACCCUGAAAAGAAUCCAUUUUAUUCUAGUGUGGUGAUUGUAUAUUCAUCACUUAAGGAAUCAUUGUCAAAACGCUAGGCCUUCACACAAGUUAUUCAAAUUGCUUGUGCCUGGGCCUUGACUCAAGUUUGGGACAGUGUGGGAUUGCAUUGUAUCAUGGUUCAAACCCUGUCAUUCUCCUGGUGUGCGUUAGAAAAAAUAAGCUCCAGUGUUUGUCCCAAUAGUCACUCAAUUGAUGGUGGGCAAGGAUGCUCGAAAAAUGAUAGCACUAAGAUUUUUCAAAAAAUAAAUAGCUGAUUAGAACAAAAUAAAGGCCUUUUUUCAACUAUGAAAAGAAAAAGCUUAGAGGAAUAUUGAAUAAUGCUGAAUUGUUUUUUUUUUCUACUCUUUGAUUUCUAAAUAGGUUACUAGAACUUCUCAUGAUUCUUCUUCUCUUGCACCUUCCACCCUUUGGGUGGAGGAGAAAGUAUGAUGAUAAUAAUCUAUGGAGAAAAAUGUCAGCUAGCAUGGGAUUGCCUUUUUGUGUGAUGUAGAUUGUAAAGUUAUAAGAAAUUGUUAUUCGACUUUUAAGUGGCUUAAUUUCAUUGGUGCUUGCUAUACUUAUUUCAGCAUGCUUAAAUUCAAUUUGUGACAUAAAUUUCAAUUGUGGCAACUGUAUUUUCACUGAUUUCAGGGCAAUCACUUAAAUUUAAGCAACCACAGAAAUUUUAUGGAAAGUCCAAUUAACAUUGUUGAAAUUAAAUCCAUUUAAGGCGGAACAAACAUUCAAUAGCAGAGAUCAAAUUGAAAUCAUGUAAUUACUUCUUUUCCUUUCACUGCCUGUUUCCACUUCUUUCAAGUUCUCUAGUUCGUUUCUUGAGCUUGUUGAUUCUCUGCAAUUUUGUGGUUUAUCUUUACGCAAUUUAUUUGUUUUUGCCUCUUGAUUUUUCUGUUUUUGGUGUUUCACAAUUGAUCCUUUAUAAUUGGACCACGUCACUGUGGUUUAUUAUUAUUAUUGUAGUUGAUUUAUUGUAUACAGAUUAAAUACAUUAUCUGCUGUCUGCUUGAACUUGAUCUACCCAACUGCGAGUUGGGAUUUGACUAUACUACUUAGUGAGUAGCAUUAUUCCCUUCAAGUUAAAUUAGCUUUAGCUUUCCAUAUUCGGCAAUUCAUUUCAUUGGAUUUGGUGUUUUACUUCAUUGCCUUAGAUCUAAUUCUCAUAACUACAAUCUUGUUGAAUAUUUUUGAAGCUAUUUGUCAAAAACAAUUUUCUAGCUGGAUGAAAUGCUUAUCAAUUUCAAGGAAGCUUGUAAAUAUGACCUGCCCUGUUCUGUUGUGUUCAAGCAUUAAUGGAUCUUUUAGAAAUGAUGUGGUAACUUAAACAUACCAUGAGAAACAUCGCAAAGAAUGCUAAUUCACAUCUUGAACUUGCAUUGAGAUCUACCUUUAACUUAGUGUUUUUGAACUCUCAUGAUAUAGAAUAUUAUUCCUUGGAAGCUAAUAAAUAUGGUGCUUAUUCAGGUAUUUGCAAAUGCCAGUUUUUCAAGGAAGCAGACCCACAAGAAGAUGAAACUAGGGGAUCUGCAAUUAAUUUGUUCACCUUUCAGGGACUUCCAGUGCCUAGACCACAUCAUUAAGAAAUUUGAGUCCUUGAAUUAGGAUCGAGGACAGUUGGUGAGAAGGCUUUGGAAAAAAAUUCGAAAGCUCACAAGGAAUCUCGAUGAUGGAUUUGCCAUUUUAAAGAGUUGCCAAGACAAAUGAGGGGUUCAAUCUCCUUGAGAGAGCUUAGAAAUUCUUGGAAGUAUGGAUCACCCACAGAGCUAUACUUGAUCAUUUUUGUAUUAGCAAGAACUUGAAUCCAAUUUGCACAGUGAUAUUGAGAUCAACUGAUUUAUUAUUGAAUUGAGAGAGAGAGAGAGAGAGAGAGAGAGAGAGAGAGAGAGAGAGAGAGAGAGGAAAUAACUUUCCACCUCAUGAUAGGAAAUAAGAUCUUGAAGGUGACACCACCCCUCUGGCUUGUCCUAACUGUUAUGAUACUGGUAUGUGAAGCCAUUAAAAAACAAUGAUAUGUAUUUUACAUAAAUAAUUGCCUUUUGUUUUCCCUCUAAA